UACGAAGGGGGCUAGCGUUGUUCGGAAUCACUAGGCGUAAAGCGCAGGUAGGCGGUUCGGUAAGUCUCUUGUUAAAGCUCCUGGCUCAACUGGGAGAGGUCAAGGGAAACUGCCGGACUAGAGUGUGGUAGAGGGUGCUGGAAUUCCCGGUGUAGCGGUGAAAUGCGUAGAGAUCGGGAGGAAUACCUAUGGCGAAAGCAGGCACCUGGGCCAUCACUGACGCUGAGCUGCGAAAGCUAGGGGAGCAAACAGG
rnacentral:rRNA from 1 species